ensembl:misc_RNA Metazoa_SRP Metazoan signal recognition particle RNA
GCCGGGCAUGGUGGUGCAUGCCUGUAGUCCCAGCUACUCGGGAGGCUGAGGCAGGAGAAUUGCUUGACCCUAGGAGGCGGAUGUUGCAGUGAGCCAAGAUCACGCCACUGCACUCCCGCCUGGGUGACAGAGCAAGACUCUGUCUCAA